UGCGGCUUACUUUUGGGUUAUCGAAAGGACACGAAUACCCCAUAAAUAAUAUUCCGGAAGGAUCUAUGAGUUUCAAUGACUGCGAAGAGUAAAUAUAGGCACUUCUUAACAAUUUAACUUACACAUAUGCAAAUAUUAUGAUUUAAUUUUGUAUCCAGGACUUUAAGUAAACUAUGCAUACUGUAAACUGUUAAUUUAUGCUGAGUCAUCAUAUUUAAGGCCCAGGAUUCUAUCAAUCUUCAUUAAAUAUUUAUAAAACUUUUUAUUUGAGUUAAUUUCUUUAAAAUCUGUGAAAUUAAGCAAAUUUGGUUAAAUUCUGAAUGUUCCCCUUUUUCACCCUAUAUAGGUUGCAUUUCUGUAAAUAUUGACAAUGCAAUUUCCCAUAGGAACUCCUUUUACGGCUAAAACUGUACCACUUUUACUAUGAAGUUUUGAAAAAAAUCUUAUCCUAGAAUUGAAAGUUCAUAUGCACCACAAUUUUUUUCAAAGGUCAAAAUAUAGGGCUGUGCGGCAUAUUUUCAACGUUUAUAUGCCUUGAACUUCUCAGAGUUUAAACUUACACUAAUUUUCUUAACUACCCCUACCUCGAAUGAAAGGUUACCACAGAUUUCAAUGUAAA
rnacentral:lncRNA from 1 species